CUACUAAUGAGCUUUCUGUGAAAUAUGCAGUACGCGAAAACGGGUGCAAUGACAAGUGAAAGUAAAAUAUUUCAGCCAGCAAAGCCAUUGACAACCAAACAGCCGGGGGAAGCAAACAAGAAAGUAUGAGCAUACUGGCUCUAAAAGGAGUCUCUCUGGGGAGACAGUGCAGGGGGGCACUGCCUCGAAAAGGAGUCUCUCUGGGGAGAAAGCGGAGGGGGUCAGUGCCCCCCAAAAAUGUUGCUCUGAUGGAAUUGACACUUGCUGGAAGCCAAAUCCAGCAGUAGAGACCAGUCUCACCUGUACCCAGCAGUCUGUCCAUGCAAACAGACAUGUCUAUUGAUCCUCCAUUCAACUUCAAGACGGGCCCAGCAGCAGAGUCCAGACAGCUGUACCCAGCUGUCUGUCCACGAACAGUGACCAGUCAAUGGGACAUCAAGAACACUUCAGGGAUGGGAACACUGGGCAUGCGUAAGAAUUUAUUACGGUCCCCUCUUUUAUCGUCUUUAUGUCUCCGCAUUAAAGCAUGGAGUCAGGACUCCCUUAUGUUUGACCUUAGGUCUAAGUUCUCUGCUGACAGGAUCCAACAGAAGAGAGCCAAUUCCCCUGGACCAAGCUGUGAGUCCUUUAAGAGUGACUGGUCAAUGGUUCAUCCUAAAACACAAUUCGGGUAGGAAGGCAUUUCUACUGAUCAAAGGUGAGUGCUUUAGAUCUUAGAGCUAGACAGACAAAUGUUGUAUUCCACCAUGUGCCAGAUACUUUCUGGGGGAAAGAUGAUUAUCGAUAAGGUAGCACUUGUGUUGUGUGUUAUGUCAUGUGUGCAGAGACCAGCAAGAGAGAUCGGAGUCAGACAUUCCCGUGGCCGGUCUACGGCAGACAUGUCCUCCAUAUUCAAGUUGGUUGAAGACCAAGUCAUCACAUUUGUAAAGAGUGAAUUAAAGAAGUUCAAGAAGAUUCGGAGUCCAGAUCACCCAGAAUGCUCUAACAGUCAGGGGAAGGGUGGUGGUGUACGGUGAAGAUGAGAACCAGGAGAGCAGUGCCAGAGAGGGGGCUCUGAAGAUCACACUGCACAUCCUGAGGAACUUGAACCAGAAAGAGCUCACUGAUACACUGGAGAACAUUUGGACCCUCCAGUCCAGCAGAGAGCAGCUUCACUCCUGAAUUCUGUGUGAACCAGGAUGCAGAACACUGGAUAAAAUCUGCCCUAAGAAAAUAUGUCUGUGAGCUAACAUUGGACGCAAACACGGCACACAGGAAACUCUCUCUGGCAGAGGGGAACAUGGGGGAGAGAAGAGCAGCCGCAUCCUGAUCACCCAGAGAGAUUUGAGGGCUGUUGGCAGGUGCUGUGUAAAGAGGGUCUGAAUAGGCGCAGUUAUUGGGAGUCAGAGUGAAGAGGAAAUGGGAGUGACGUACAGAGAAAAAUCAGCAGGAGUGGAGAGGUUGGGGACUGUUGGCUUGGACGUAAUGACAAGUCCUGGAGUUUGCGAUGCUUUGACAACAGUUACAUCGCCUUCCUUAAUGCUAGGAGUAUUGCUUUACCUGCUCCCUUGUCUUAUUCGAACAGAGUAGGAGUGUAUCUGGACUGGCUGGCACUCUGUCCUUCUAGUGUCUCCUCUGGUACACUGACCCAUCUGCAUACAUUCUACUCCACAUUUUCUAACCCUCUUUACCCAGGGUUUAGGCUUUGGAAUGAUGACACAUCAGUGUGCCUGUGUCAGGUAGCGCAGCCUCCAAUUUGAAACUCAGGCCAGAAUUCCAUCUAGUUGAUUUUGGCAUUGCGGUUUUAAGUACGUUUACGUUGCAACGUGUUCGCUCCAGAAUUGAUACUCGAUUUAGAAAAUCAGUAGUCGCCUACUGCCUGGUUUUAGCAGAAGCCCUGGUAGGAUGUUGACAGUUACCCACCCUCCCUUCUAUAUUUACCUUGAUAAUUCAUUGCAGUCACGCAGAUUUUAAUCUGUGACACACUGCUGUGCAAAUCAAACACCCAAUUUCGGUGACCUUAAAUAAAAUAGCAUUUAUUUAUUUUUCUACUCUGCUUCACCUACAGCAAAUAACAUUUUUGGUUUUGUUCAAUUUAGGAGUUAAGCAUCCUGAGUGAGAGAAUUUGUUUUAUCUGGAAUACAAGUCUAAGAUGUGCCCAGAUCACAGCCUUCAACACCACUUGUAUAUUAGGAAAUCACUUAGGGUACAUGUGUUGCACAUUAAUGUAGGCUAAUUAUGAGUUAUAAAUCACAUACUAUAGCCAGAUCUCUAGGCCAUUGAACUUCUGUUACCUGGUCUCUGGUUUCACAGCCACUAGAUGGAGCCACAAACCAUUAUGUAGUGAAAGUGUCUGGAUGAAAAGUGCUGUUGAAGAGAAUGUGACUGUUUUGGCUGAGACCACUGAAAAUGUUAUCCCGCUAGAUAGUGAUGCGAUAAAUACAUGUAAGUAACUACUACCGACCCAAGAUGAGUGGCGGUUCUGACAUCAGCAGCACUAGCCAUGCAUCCUCAUCGGAUAAAGAGUACUUCCCCUAUAUUUGGGUAGGAAAGAUGUACUUUACUUGCCUCUAUGCUAUACAGAGCGACAACAACAAAAAAAACAGUAUGGCAUUGCCCCAGAUAUUCUGUAUUUCCCAGACUCAAUAUUCCUACAGUAAAAUCAUAAUCAAUACCCAGUCUGCCUGUACUUUAAUACAUUCUUUAUUUUCUUAAACAAAAUUGGAAGUAAAAACCUUUAUGUAGAAAGACAAAUUCCCUGUCAGUAGCGUUCCACCUAAGGUUCUUGAUUUAGGGCCUCCAGUAGACUCCCGUCUUUUUGGUUGUUCUCUUCUACUGUGUGAGCCAACGUAAGAACAUUCCACCACGGAGUCAGUACCAACUGGAACUCCCCACUAGCUCAUGAAUUAACUCACCAACUUGUGAAUUAACCCAUGCAGACUUUCGAGAAACACAGUGGG